GACGUAGGGAGCGAGCGUUGUCCGGAUUCAUUGGGCGUAAAGGGUCCGUAGGCGGCUCAGCAAGUCACUUGUGAAAUCUCCGGGCUUAACUCGGAACGGUCAAGUGAUACUGUCGGACUAGAGUACAGAAGGGGCAACUGGAAUUCUCGGUGUAGCGGUGAAAUGCGUAGAUAUCGAGAGGAACACCUGCGGCGAAGGCGGGUUGCUGGGCUGAUACUGACGCUGAGGCGCGAAAGCCAGGGAGCGAACGGG
rnacentral:rRNA from 1 species